UACGGAGGGUGCAAGCGUUAUCCGGAUGCACUGGGUUUAAAGGGUGCGUAGGUGGGCAAGUAAGUCAGUGGUGAAAUCUCCGGGCUUAACCCGGAAACUGCCAUUGAUACUAUUUGUCUUGAAUACUGUGGAGGUCAGCGGAAUAUGUCAUGUAGCGGUGAAAUGCUUAGAUAUGACAUAGAACAUCAAUUGCGAAGGCAGCUGGCUACACAAAUAUUGACACUGAGGCACGAAAGCGUGGGGAUCAAACAGG
rnacentral:rRNA from 1 species